CCUGACACCGACACGAGAGCGACUGCGCAUGUGCGAGCGGCGCACGCAAGCGCUACUGUACUGAGUGAGAUUCUUGGUUAGCUUAGCCUGUCCUAUCCAAGUAGCCCAGCACUCUGGGGUUACUCGUCCUAUCCCGAAGCGUGUGAGCUGAAGGAGAGUGGACGGGCUCGUGAAGAUGACUUCUAUGUUGAGGAAGUCAUCCCAAAAACAAAAUAGUGAAAUACCGUAUACAAUACAAAGCCAAUAUAAUAAAAAUUAUAAAAAUAUUAAAAUAAAUAAAUACAUUUUUAUAUAUUUAAUUAUUUUUAUCCAUAUAAUUUUUUUUUUUUUUUAAUUUAUAUAUUAUUUAUAUAUUACAUAACUGGAUCUCUGAGAAACUGAGAAAUGUUGCAUUGGCAAUUGAUUUACCUCGUACUUUUUGUUUAAUAGUAAUUUUAUGUGCUUUAAAAAAAUCUUUCUAUUCAUUUUUUUGUUUGUUUGUUUAAUUCAGUUCUAACUCAGUAAUUUUAGUACGUUAACUUAUUUUCACAGCAGCUUUUCCCAGUGCAUUGGUUUGCUUUAGCAGACUCUCCUGACAUGCACACGUGUGUUAUGCUCAGAUUCCCAGCACUCUCAUGCUUCUGUGUGUGUGUCCUCACUGACAUAACAUUGGAGAGUGUGUGAACUUGUGUUAAAUGUUGAUCUUCUGGAUGUGGUGUGUGUGUGUAUGUGUGUGUGUGCAGUACUGGAGCAGCGUGAGGAUCAGAUGCAGGGUUUGGCCUGGAAGGAGGACGGAUCUCUGCUGGCUUCAUCCUGCAAGGAGAAGAAGCUGCGUCUCUUCGACCCUCAGAGCUGAAAAUACUCCUCAUAGUUUGAGGCCGUGCUGGCGCGGUGCGGUCCCUGGCAGCGAGGGGAAACAGGAAAGGGAAUAUUUUCUGGACACGGGGGCCAGAUUUCUCGAUUUCGGCUUCGGCUUCUGCUGCUUUUUGUGAAAUCGGAGAGGCUUUGGAAUGAAAAGGGAAAAAACGCAGACUGAGCGACUGCAGGGGUUUGUGGGAGACGCACACAGACGAGGACGCUGGGUAUAUAUUAGGGGUUACACUUACACCAGAAUACACUGAAAACAAGCAGUGUACGCUUAUCCUGCAUCUCCUCUGACUUCAGAUGAUGAGAAGCUGCUGAAGUGAGCAGCUGGAUGGCAGUCCAGCGUUUCUGGCCUCUAAACGUCUUUCUGAAGUCUGAAAUGAAAACCAGAGAAGCUGACUGUGCAAUUUCCAAAUGGAGAAAAGAAGUGUUUUCUGUUGGGGAUGUGUAAUACAAACAUUACCUCUAUAGCAUCAACAUUUGGAAAUAUGAUAUACAACAUUUAUUGUUUUUCUCCAGGAAAAAGUAGUAUUGUGCAAAAAAUGUAAAGUUGAUUUAUUAUUAUUUAGCUUUUUUUUAAAUAUUAAUUAAUUGAUUAAUGUAUUUAUUUAUUUUUACUUUUUAUGCAUGUAUUUUAUUUUUUUACAUUUAUUUAAUUUACUUGUUUGUAUUCUUAUUUUAAAUAUUUAUAAAUUUCACUUAUAGAAUUACUCAUUUUAUGUUCAUAUUUAUUUACCUAUUUGUAUUAUUUAUUUAUUUAUUCUGUAUUAUUUGCCCAUUUUUAUUGAUUUUAAAAGUAUAUACAAAAUUGAUAUGACAAAAAUAUUUAUUUGUAAAUGUUAAUUUACAUAUUUUUAGUUUGAAUUAUUUUUCAUUUAAAUUGUAACUUUUUUAAAAUAAUUUUUUACUUAUUUUUUAUGUAUUUAAUAAUUUCACUUAUGUAAUUACCUAUUUUAUGUUUAUAUUUACCUAUGCUAAUUUGUUCAUUUAUUUGUUUUUGUAUAUUUAUUAAUUCAUUUAUUUUAAUGAAUUUAUUUACAUUUUUAUGUUUUAAUUUUAUUUUGUACCUGUUUGUUUGUUUAUAUAUAUAUAUAUAUAUAUGAAUUUUGUACCUAUUUAGUUUUAUCUAUUCAUAAUUUAUUAAUAAUAUUUUCACUCGUUCACUCCCUUUUCUUGAGUCAGAAUCAACCGUAUCACAGUGUUUAACAGUAUUGUGACAUGAAUCUAUGUCUGGCGUCAUAUUUCUCUGUAGAGUGACGCAGAGCUCAUGAUUUCCUCAUUAAUAUCUGUCUAUCAUUGUUCUUGCAGAUGAAGCAGCCAGUUUUCAUAAAGGCCUCAUUCUCGACUGCCAGGCAAAUCUGUGAUAAGAGGAUAAUGGUUUUACUCUCACUUUCUAAACAGGGGCCGUCUGUGCGGUCCAGACUGCUGCCUCAGGUGUAGUUACACACUAGCGCAUCAGUGUGAUGUUUUUCCCAUCAGGUCUGUUUGAGCUCGUAGGAAGGAGAGCUGGAGCUUCAGCAUCACCUGCUGAUCUUCAUCUGUUUUCUUCUCUCUCUCUACUCUCGCUGCGCUCGGGUCAUGUGCUGUGUUUUGGACUCUUUGUUAGUGUUGGCCGUCAGGUACAGACCCGUGGCUGACCGCCAGUGUGACAGACACACAUGCUUCUCAUUCAUCGAAUGAUUUCCGGUAGUUAUUUUCUUUACAGUGCAUGUAACACAUUAUGAUCCCACAUAUCUGAGAUCUGUCUUGUGUAAUUUUGGCCACCAAUGUGUGUGUUUUUUUUUUUUUUUUUUAAGGUUGGUAAGCCAGCAGAAUGGAUAGAUAGGUAUUUUGAUUGAUUGAUUGAUUGAUUUUACUUUAUAACAUUAUAUAGUAUUUUAUUUUACAUUUAACAAAAGAAUAGAUACAUAAUAUAUUAACACAGUUUAUAUAAUUUCUUUUAAUAAUGUUUUUGUAAAUAAAUAUAUAUAGAAGUUGUAAUUUUAUAUAGUAAGUCAUAUAAAUUUCAUACAUGAUAUUUCAUCUAUAAUAUAUAAAUAAUUCUAUAAUAUUCCAUUGUAUUAUAAAGUAAUAAAUACAUAAUAUAUUUUACUUUAAAUUGAGAUUUAAUUUAUAUAUAUAAUAUAUAUAUAUAUUUAAAAAUCUAUUUUAAAACUAUUAUUAAUAUAAAAUAUUUUAAAUGUCAUAACAUUUUCUAUAAUUAUAUAUAUAAAAAAGAAUCUCCUUUACACAGCGAUGUACAUGGUAUGGUUAAUAUACCAUCUAUGAUAAAUUAUUUAAAAAUCAAUAAUACAGUUUGUAAUAUUUUAUAAAAUAUUUUGUCUUUUAUUCUGCAAAAUAAUGCAUAGACUUUUUAUAUUUCAUAUAAUAAAAUUGUAUUAUAUAUAUUAUUAUU
rnacentral:lncRNA from 1 species